ACUGCUGGACAUGCUGAAUAUAAGUAUUUUUUAUGUAAAAGUGAGAGAGGAACUAGAUGUGUGCUUUUUUAAUUUCCAGGGUCUUCAAGGUGCUCCUGGACUGCCAGGCAUACCAGGACCCAGUGGACCAUCUGGAGUCACAGGAAGACCUGGACAUCCUGGUCCAGCAGGGGCAAAAGGCGAAAAGGGUAGUGAAGGCUCUCCUGGGAAACCUGGACCACCUGGGCCUCCGGGUAUGCCUUACAAUGAAAGAAAUGGAAUGAGCAGCUUAUAUAAACUGCAGGUAUUUUUCUUUAAUGUUAAUUGGUUUUUUUCAAUCCACACCUAA
rnacentral:lncRNA from 1 species